GACGCAGUGGGGCAUGUAGCUCAGAGGAUUAGAGCACGUGGCUACGAACCACAGUGUCGGGGGUUCGAAUCCCUCCUCGCCCAC
rnacentral:tRNA from 1 species